rnacentral:rRNA from 1 species
GACGAACGCUGGCGGCGUGCUUAACACAUGCAAGUCGAACGGAAAGGCCCUGCUUUUGUGGGGUGCUCGAGUGGCGAACGGGUGAGUAACACGUGAGUAACCUGCCCUUGACUUUGGGAUAACUUCAGGAAACUGGGGCUAAUACCGGAUAGGAGCUCCUGCUGCAUGGUGGGGGUUGGAAAGUUUCGGCGGUUGGGGAUGGACUCGCGGCUUAUCAGCUUGUUGGUGGGGUAGUGGCUUACCAAGGCUUUGACGGGUAGCCGGCCUGAGAGGGUGAACGGCCACAUUGGGACUGAGAUACGGCCCAGACUCCUACGGGAGGCAGCAGUGGGGAAUAUUGCAGCAUGGGCGGAAGCCUGAUGCAGCAACGCCGCGUGCGGGAUGACGGCCUUCGAGUUGUAAACCGCUUUCGCCUGUGACGAAGCGUGAGUGACGGUAAUGGGUAGAGAAGCACCGGCUAACUACGUG